GGUUCAUCAAUGCUAAACAAUAGCAAGAGUUUUUAGAUCAUAACAAAAUCAGAAAAAAUAAUAAAAAUUGAGUAAAAUAGAUUAAGCUUGUCGAAAUCAUGCAAACCAAAUGAUUUAUCACUUCUUGUGUUUGCAUCUCUUUGAAUCUUGUUCUUCAAUCGAUAUCUUGCCUUCUUAGGGUUUCUAAGAGGUUUUUGUUCGUAAAUAAUCGCAACUCUCCCUAAAAUCUGACCUAAGGGUCACAUUUAUAAUGUUGUCAUAUAGUACGUCAUUGUGCCACGAAAUAUUGAAUAUUGCGCUACGGAAAUGCUCCACGAAACCAUGCACUUCAGCCGAGAAUCUUCCAAAGCUGACACGUCACCGCAUCGUGGCCAAAGGAUUAUUGUGUUGUGGUGUCUUCUUCUUGUCAAUUUCCGGUCUUUGAUGCACGUCUUCAGUUUUCCGCCUUCCAACUUUGCAUUUUAGCACUUGUUCUCUCGAGAACGUCUUUGUUGCUAAAAAAACGAAAUAUAGUAUCAUUCAUAACAAAUAAUGACUAAAUCCAACUAAAAAUACUUAAAUAUUGCAUAAAAUAUAGGACUAUAUAUAGCAAUAUCAACUUCCUAGUGGCUUGAAGACAAUCCUAUCAAACAAUUUAAGCUACAAACACGAACACUUUUAGCUAUUAAUCUCACGUUUUACAACACAAACAAGUGUAUUUGUGUUUCUAUCUCGAUGGGUAAACUAUACACUACGUCUCCUCUCAAAUUUAGUUGAGGGUAUGAGGGUAUCACCAAAUCAUCCUAAAUUCAUAUGGCAUCUUCGAUUAAAGUCGAUGCAAUUUUGAUGGGAUAGGAAUUAGGAAAGAUAACAAUAUUUAUUAUGGUGACAUGACUUUUAAUUAUUCUAUUAUAAAAUUAAUUAUUACAUUUGACAACAUGUAUGAAAAUCUUGAAAUGUGUUAGACAUAAUGAUUUAUUUCGAUAAAACUAUAGGGACAGUGGUUAAAAACUUGAUAAAUCAAAAGGCUUUUUUUAAUAAACGAAAGAUAUAGUUUUUUUUAAUAAACGAAAGAUAUAGUUUUUUUUAAUAAACGAAAGAUAUAAAAUUAAUUAUUACAUUUGACAACAUGUAAGAAUGACUUCAUAAAAGACGAGUUCAACUUUUUUUAAUAAACGAAAGAUAUAGUUUUUUUUGGUAUUGAUUAUAAAGUUAAUUAAGGAGGAUUGAUUGAAAGGCAUAUUAUUAUUUGGGAGGAUUAGAAUUUGUGGCCGCAAUGAUGUUGUACACAAAACAUGUAGGAUCCACAAAAUAAAUACUCCUUGCAUUGCGCAUCAAAAGCUUGAUUGGACUCAAAAGAAAAAAUAUUCCAUACGUUUCUUUUGAUACGAGAUGUAAUCCAAUGGAAAUCUUCAAUCACUAAUUAAAUACAAGGAAAAAAAUGUAUUUAGCUUUAUUAAAAAUAUUAAUAUUAAUUACUAACGAGAUAUAAGGCAUAUUUCAUAACUUUCGUUUAUUAAAUUUGUAUUUCUGAAACAUAUUAUAAAGUAACGUGUUUAUAUUAUUAUUUUUUUUUAAAACAGACAUUUUAAUAAUUAAAAAACAUAGUAUAAUAUGUGUUCAUAAAAAUAUAAGAUUUCUAUACAUUGAUCGGGGAACUAUGUUCCCAAAAAUAAAUUUUGCUCGUAAAAACAUGUUAUAAGAACAUUUUAACCGGUAUUUUUUAUUAAGUUUUUUUAUUAAUUUAUUAUUAUUAUUUGAAAAAGUUUUUGAAAAAAAUUACUAUAACAGAAGAAAACUUACUAAAGGUCACUACAAACACUUAUUUUUUACUCAUCUUUUAAUUUUCAUUUAGACUUUAUCUUAUUUUCAUCUCUAUAUUUAAUAACAUUAGUUUAUAACACGUGUGAACCACGGUUACAAAUAACUUUGUUAAAAAUUAGUUCUAAAGGCGAUUAACACUUUUGCGUAAAUAAUUAAUACAUCUAAACAAUUAUCAAUAACAGUCAUGCUACUAAAAACGAAAUCAAUAAGAUUUAAAAAUAAAAAUUUUGGAUUUUAUACAAAUACACCAUUUGUUUUCUUAAAUCAUAAGCGAGCAUAUUUUAUAAAGGGUUUUAGUUUAUUAUAAACAUGAUUUUUUUAUGACGUUUAUCUUGCAAGAAAAAGUUUUAUUGAAUUAGGACAAUUUCUGAAUUUUUAUUGAGAUUUUUUUUUCUUUUACAUGUUGUUCAACAUAUUUAUGCAAUAUCAUAUGAUCAUAUAAAAAAGUCUCAAUCCAAAAUGGAUAAAAAAAAUUAUGAUAGCUUGAUAUAUGGAAGGACGUUGUUAAUAGUUUUCAGUUUAGAGACGGAUAGUAGAUUGUAACAAGGUAAACAUGAAUUCAGUAUGCAUAAUAAAUCAAAAAACCCACAAAUCUUUGAAUAUUACUAUAUUAGUACCAAGAAUAAAUUUAAAAUUAAUUUAGACAUUCACCAAAAAACAAUUCAUUUUCAAAACAGUACAUUAUUUAUUAAUUAACAUCAAAACCCACCGAAAUACAUCUUAAUUAACCUCAAGACCAACACCAGGAGUCUAGGAAUGACACGUCUACUCAACCUCUUUCUCACAUGUGAUGUGACAACUUGAAAGCCAAUUUAAAAAAAAUUAAUUUCUCGCAUAAGUUCAUAAAAGUACAUUGCUAUAUGCAAGAAAUAGCAAUGUACUUAUAGUUAACGAUGAAAGUAUGCAAAACACGACCAUAUGUGUUAUUUUAUCUUAUGAUAGCAACAUAACAAAUUCAAAGUAGAAUGGUUCACCUUGAAAGAUCGGUUCUCUAAUGGCCAAUUAAUUGUUGCUUCCAUUAAAAAAGCAGUGGUGUGGCAGUGCCUUCUGAUCAGAAUGAUUCUCUGGUGCUCUUCUUGGUCAUGCUACCAUUUUUUUUCCAGUCUUCUCAAAGCAUGUUGAAAGGUAUUUUCUUAAUUAAGUUUUUAAUUAACGCUAUGG
rnacentral:lncRNA from 1 species